rnacentral:lncRNA from 1 species
CUGGGGGGUGUUGGCACCCCGACCUUCGGGGGCUGAUUUUUGGGCGCGGCUGUGCCCGUGGCCUAUUUUUGGCACACGGAGGCCGCCCGCAACGUCUGGGGCCAUUCCGAGUGCGGCGGACGAACUUCGCCCACGCCCCCCACCAAGGCUAUAGCCCACCCGUUUUUUGGCCAUUUUUCCGCUGGGGGGUCUUGGCACCCCGACCUUCGGGGGCUGAUUUUUGGGCGCGGCUCUGCCCGUGGCCUAUUUUUGGCACACGGAAGCCGCCCGCAAAGUCUGGGGCCAUUCCGAGUCCGGCGGACGAACUUCGCCCACGCCCCCCACCAAGGCUAUAGCCCACCCGUUUUUUGGCCAUUUUUCCGCUGGGGGGUCAUGGCACCCCGACCUUCGGGGGCUGAUUGUUGGGCGCGGCUCUGCCCGUGGCUUAUUUUUGGCACACGGAGGCCGCCCGCAAAGUCUGUGGCCAUUCAGAGUUCGGCGGACGAACUUCGCCCACGCCCCCCACCAAGGCUAUAGCCCACCCGUUUUUUGGCCAUUUUUCCGCUGGGGGGUCUUGGCGCCCCGACCUUCGGGGGCUGAUUUUUGGGCGCGGCUGUGCCCGUUGCCUAUUUUUGGCACACGGAGGCCGCCCGCAAAGUCUGGGGCCAUUCCGAGUCCGGCGGACGAACUUCGCCCACGCCCCCCACCAAGGCUAUAGCCCGCCCACCCGUUUUUUGGCUAUUUUUCCGCUGGGGGGUCUUGGCGCCCCGACCUUCGGGGGCUGAUUUUUGGGCGCUGGUGUGCCCGUGGCCAAUUUUUGGCACAAGGAGGCCGCCCGCAAAGUCUGGGGCCAUUCCGAGUCCGGCGGACGAACUUCGCCCACGCCCCCCACCAAGGCUAUAGCCCACCCAUUUUUUGGCCAUUUUUCCGCUGGGGGGUCUUGGCGCCCCGACCUUCGGGGGCUGAUUUUUGGGCGCGGCUCUGCCCGUGGCCUAUUUUUGGCACAAGGAAGCCGCCCACAAAGUCUGGGGCCAUUCCGAGUCCGGCGGACGAACUUCGCCCACGCCCCCCACCAAGGCUAUAGCCCACCCGUUUUUUGGCCAUUUUUCCGCUGGGGGGUCUUGGCGCCCCGAUCUUCGGGGGCUGAUUUUUGGGCGCGGCUCUGCCCGUGGCCUAUUUUUGGCACACGGAAGCCGCCCGCAAAGUCUGGGGCCAUUCCGAGUCCGGCGGACGAACUUCGCCCACGCCCCCCACCAAGGCUAUAGCCCACCCGUUUUUUGGCCAUUUUUCCGCUGGGGGGUGUUGGCACCCCGACCUUCGGGGGCUGAUUUUUGGGCGCGGCUGUGCCCGUGGCCUAUUUUUGGCAAACGGAGGCCGCCCGCAACGUCUGGGGCCAUUCCGAGUCCGGCGGACGAACUUCGCCCACGCCCCCCACCAAGGCUAUAGCCCACCCGUUUUUUGGCCAUUUUUCCGCUGGGGGGUCUUGGCGCCCAGACCUUCGGGGGCUGAUUUUUGGGCGCGGCUGUGCCCGUGGCCUAGUUUUGGCACACGGAGGCCGCCCGCAAAGUCUGGGGCCAUUCCGAGUCCGGCGGACGAACUUCGCCCACGCCCCCCACCAAGGCUAUAGCCCACCCGUUUUUUGGCCAUUUUUCCGCUGGGGGGUCUUGGCACCCCGACCUUCGCGGGCUGAUUUUUGGGCGCGGCUCUGCCCGUGGCCUAUUUUUGGCACACGGAAGCCGCCCGCAAAGUCUGGGGCCAUUCCGAGUCCGGCGGACGAACUUCGCCCACGCCCCCCACCAAGGCUAUAGCCCACCCGUUUUUUGGCCAUUUUUCCGCUGGGGGGUCUUGGCACCCCGACCUUCGCGGGCUGAUUUUUGGGCGCGGCUCUGCCCGUGGCCUAUUUUUGGCACACGGAAGCCGCCCGCAAAGUCUGGGGCCAUUCCGAGUCCGGCGGACGAACUUCGCCCACGCCCCCCACCAAGGCUAUAGCCCACCCGUUUUUUGGCCAUUUUUCCGCUGGGGGGACUUGGCACCCCGACCUUCGGGGGCUGAUUUUUGGGCGCGGCUCUGCCCGUGGCCUAUUUUUGGCACACGGAGGCCGCCCGCAAAGUCUGGGGCCAUUCCGAGUUCGGCGGAUGAACUGCGCCCACGCCCCCCACCAAGGCUAUAGCCCACCCGUUUUUUGGCCAUUUUUCCGCUGGGGGGUCUUGGCGCCCCAACCUUCGGGGGCUGAUUUUUGGGCGCGGCUGUGCCCGUUGCCUAUUUUUGGCACACGGAGGCCGCCCGCAAAGUCUGGGGCCAUUCCGAGUCCGGCGGACGAACUUCGCCCACGCCCCCCACCAAGGCUAUAGCCCGCCCACCCGUUUUUUGGCUAUUUUUCCGCUGGGGGGUCUUGGCGCCCCGACCUUCGGGGGCUGAUUUUUGGGCGCUGGUGUGCCCGUGGCCUAUUUUUGGCACACGGAGGCCGCGCGCAAAGUCUGGGGCCAUUCCGAGUUCGGCGGAUGAACUGCGCCCACGCCCCCCACCAAGGCUAUAGCCCACCCGUUUUUUGGCCAUUUUUCAGCUGGGGGGUGUUGGCACCCCGACCUUCGGGGGCUGAUUUUUGGGCGCGGCUGCGUCCGUGGCCUAUUUUUGGCACACGGAGGCCGCCCGCAACAUCUGGGGCCAUUCCAAGUCCGGCGGACGAACUUCGCCCACCCCCCCCACCAAGGCUAUAGCCCACCCGUUUUUUGGCCAUUUUUCCGCUGGGGGGUCUUGGCGCCCCGACCUUCGGGGGCUGAUUUUUGGGCGCGGCUCUGCCCGUGGCCUAUUUUUGGCACACAGAAGCCGCCCGCAAAGUCUGGGGCCAUUCCGAGUCCGGCGGACGUACUUCGCCCACGCCCCCCACCAAGGCUAUAGCCCACCCGUUUUUUGGCCAUUUUUCCGCUGGGGGGUGUUGGCACCCCGACCUUCGGGGGCUGAUUUUUGGGCGCGGCUGUGCCCGUGGCCUAUUUUUGGCACAUGGACGACGCCCGCAACGUCUGGGGCCAUUCCGAGUCCGGCGGACGAACUUCGCCCACGCCCCCCACCAAGGCUAUAGCCCACCCGUUUUUUGGCCAUUUUUCCGCUGGGGGGUGUUGGCACCCCGACCUUCGGGGGCUGAUUUUUGGGCGCGGCUGUGCCCGUGGCCUAUUUUUGGCACACGGAGGCCGCCCGCAAAGUCUGGGGCCAUUCCGAGUCCGGCGGACGAACUUCGCCCACGCCCCCCACCAAGGCUAUAGCCCACCCGUUUUUUGGCCAUUUUUCCGCUGGGGGGUGUUGGCACCCCGACCUUCGGGGGCUGACUUUUGGGCGCGGCUGUGCCCGUGGCCUAUUUUUGGCACACGGAGGCCGCCCGCAAAGUCUGGGGCCAUUCCGAGUCCGGCGGACGAACUUCGCCCACGCCCCCCACCAAGGCUAUAGCCCACCCGUUUUUUGGCCAUUUUUCCGCGGGGGGGUGUUGGCACCCCGACUUUCGGGGGCUGAUUUUUGGGCGCGGCUGUGCCCGUGGCCUAUUUUUGGCACACGGAGGCCGCCCGCAAAGUCUGGGGCCAUUCCGAGUCCGGCGGACGAACUUCGCCCACGCCCCCCACCAAGGCUAUAGCCCACCCGUUUUUUGGCCAUUUUUCAGCUGGGGGGUGUUGGCACCCCGACCUUCGGGGGCUGAUUUUUGGGCGCGGCUGUGCCCGUGGCCUAUUUUUGGCACACGGAGGCCGCCCGCAACAUCUGGGGCCAUUCCGAGUCCGGCGGACGAACUUCGCCCACGCCCCCCACCAAGGCUAUAGCCCACCCGUUUUUUGGCCAUUUUUCCGCUGGGGGGUCUUGGCGCCCCGACCUUCGGGGGCUGAUUUUUGGGCGCGGCUGUGCCCGUGGCCUAUUUUUGGCACACGGAGGCCGCCCGCAAAUUCUGGGGCCAUUCCGAGUCCGGCGGACGAACUUCGCCCACGCCCCCCACCAAGGCUAUAGUCCGCCCACCCGUUUUUUGCCCAUUUUUCCGCUGCGGGGUCUUGGCGCCCCGAUCUUCGGGGGCUGAUUUUUGGGCGCGGGUGUGCCCGUGGCCUGUUUUUGGCACACGGAGGCCGCCCGCAAAGUCUGGGGCCAUUCCGAGUCCGGCGGACGAACUUCGCCCACGCCCCCCACCAAGGCUAUAGCCCGCCCACCCGUUUUUUUUGCCAUUUUUCCGCUAGGGGGUAUUGGCGCCCCGACCUUCGGGGGCUGAUUUUUGGGCGCGGGUGUGCCCGUGGCCUGUUUUUGGCACACGGAGGCCGCCCGCAAAGUCUGGGGCCAUUCCGAGUCCGGCGGACGAACUUCGCCCACGCCCCCCACCAAGGCUAUAGCCCACCCGUUUUUUGGCCAUUUUUCCGCUGGGGGGUCUAGGCGCCCCGACAUUCGGGGGCUGAUUUUUGGGCGCGGCUGUGCCCGUGGCCUAUUUUUGGCACACGGAGGCCGCCCGCAAAGUCUGGGGCCAUUCCGAGUCCGGCGGACGAACUUCGCCCACGCCCCCCACCAAGGCUAUAGCCCCACCGUUUUUUGGCCAUUUUUCCGCUGGGGGGUCUUGGCGCCCCAACCUUCGGGGGCUGAUUUUUGGGCGCGGCUGUGCCCGUGGCCUAUUUUUGGCACACGGAGGCCGCCCGCAAAGUCUGGGGCCAUUCCGAGUCCGGCGGACGAACUUCGCCCACGCCCCCCACCAAGGCUAUAGCCCACCCGUUUUUUGGCCAUUUUUCCGCUGGGGGGUCUUGGCGCCUCGACCUUCGGGGGCUGAUUUUUGGGCGCGGCUCUGCCCGUGGCCUAUAUUUGGCACACGGAAGCCGCCCGCAAAGUCUGGGGCCAUUCCGAGUCCGGCGGACGAACUUCGCCCACGCCCCCCACCAAGGCUAUAGCCCACCCGUUUUUUGGCCAUUUUUCCGCUGGGGGGUGUUGGCACCCCGACCUUCGGGGGCUGAUUUUUGGGCGCGGCUCUGCCCGUGGCCUAUUUUUGGCACACGGAAGCCGCCCGCAAAGUCUGGGGCCAUUCCGAGUUCGGCGGACGAACUUCGCCCACGCCCCCCACCAAGGCUAUAGCCCACCCGUUUUUUGGCCAUUUUUCCGCUGGGGGGUGUUGGCACCCCGACAUUCGGGGGCUGAUUUUUGGGCGCGGCUGUGCCCGUGGCCUAUUUUUGGCACACGGAGGCCGCCCGCAAAGUCUGGGGCCAUUCCGAGUCCGGCGGACGAACUUCGCCCACGCCCCCCACCAAGGCUAUAGCCCGCCCACCCGUUUUUUGGGCAUUUUUCCGCCGGGGGGUCUUGGCGCCCCGACCUUCGGGGGCUGAUUUUUGGGCGCGGGUGUGCCCGUGGCCUGUUUUUGGCACACGGAGGCCGCCCGCAAAGUCUGGGGCCAUUCCGAGUCCGGCGGACGAACUUCGCCCACGCCCCCCACCAAGGCUAUAGCCCACCCGUUUUUUGGCCAUUUUUCCACUGGGGGGUCUUGGCGCCCCGACCUUCGGGGGCUGAUUUUUGGGCGCGGCUGUGCCCGUGGCCUGUUUUUGGCACACGGAGGCCGCCCGCAACGUCUGGGGCCAUUCCGAGUCCGGCGGACGAACUUCGCCCACGCCCCCCACCAAGGCUAUAGCCCACCCGUUUUUUGGCCAUUUUUCCGCUGGGGGGUCAUGGCACCCCGACCUUCGGGGGCUGAUUUUUGGGCGCGGCUCUGCCCGUGUCCUAUUUUUGGCACACGGAAGCCGCCCGCAAAGUCUGGGGCCAUUCCGAGUCCGGCGGACGAACUUCGCCCACGCCCCCCACCAAGGCUAUAGCCCACCCGUUUUUUGGCCAUUUUUCAGCUGGGGGGUGUUGGCACCCCGACCUUCGGGGGCUGAUUUUUGGGCGCGGCUGCGCCCGUGGCCUAUUUUUGGCACACGGAGGCCGCCCGCAACAUCUGGGGCCAUUCCGAGUCCGGCGGACGAACUUCGCCCACGCCCCCCACCAAGGCUAUAGCCCGCCCACCCGUUUUUUGGCUAUUUUUCCGCUGGGGGGUCUUGGCGCCCCGACCUUCGGGGGCUGAUUUUUGGGCGCUGGUGUGCCCGUGGCCUAUUUUUGGCACACGGAGGCCGCCCGCAAAGUCUGGGGCCAUUCCGAGUCCGGCGGACGUACUUCGCCCACGCCCCCCACCAAGGCUAUAGCCCACCCGUUUUUUGGCCAUUUUUCCGCUGGGGGGUGUUGGCACCCCGACCUUCGGGGGCUGAUUUUUGGGCGCGGCUGUGCCCGUGGCCUAUUUUUGGCACAUGGACGACGCCCGCAACGUCUGGGGCCAUUCCGAGUUCGGCGGACGAACUUCGCCCACGCCCCCCACCAAGGCUAUAGCCCACCCGUUUUUUGGCCAUUUUUCCGCUGGGGGGUGUUGGCACCCCGACCUUCGGGGGCUGAUUUUUGGGCGCGGCUGUGCCCGUGGCCUAUUUUUGGCACACGGAGGCCGCCCGCAACAUCUGGGGCCAUUCCGAGUCCGGCGGACGAACUUCGCCCACGCCCCCCACCAAGGCUAUAGCCCACCCGUUUUUUGGCCAUUUUUCCGCUGGGGGGUCUUGGCGCCCCGACCUUCGGGGGCCGAUUUUUGGGCGCGGCUGUGCCCGUGGCCUAUUUUUGGCACACGGAGGCCGCCCGCAAAGUCUGGGGCCAUUCCGAGUCCGGCGGACGAACUUCGCCCACGCCCCCCACCAAGGCUAUAGCCCACCCGUUUUUUGGCCAUUUUUCCGCUGGGGGGUGUUGGCACCCCGACCUUCGGGGGCUGAUUUUUGGGGGCGGCUGUGCCCGUGGCCUAUUUUUGGCACACGGAGGCCGCCCGCAACGUCUGGGGCCAUUCCGAGUCCGGCGGACGAACUUCGCCCACGCCCCCCACCAAGGCUAUAGCCCACCCGUUUUUUGGCCAUUUUUCAGCUGGGGGGUGUUGGCACCCCGACCUUCGGGGGCUGAUUUUUGGGCGCGGCUGUGCCCGUGGCCUAUUUUUGGCACACGGAGGCCGCCCGCAACAUCUGGGGCCAUUCCGAGUCCGGCGGACGAACUUCGCCCACGCCCCCCACCAAGGCUAUAGCCCACCCGUUUUUUGGCCAUUUUUCCGCUGGGGGGUCUUGGCGCCCCGACCUUCGGGGGCUGAUUUUUGGGCGCGGCUGUGCCCGUGGCCUAUUUUUGGCACACGGAGGCCGCCCGCAAAUUCUGGGGCCAUUCCGAGUCCGGCGGACGAACUUCGCCCACGCCCCCCACCAAGGCUAUAGUCCGCCCACCCGUUUUUUGCCCAUUUUUCCGCUGCGGGGUCUUGGCGCCCCGAUCUUCGGGGGCUGGUUUUUGGGCGCGGGUGUGCCCGUGGCCUGUUUUUGGCACACGGAGGCCGCCCGCAAAGUCUGGGGCCAUUCCGAGUCCGGCGGACGAACUUCGCCCACGCCCCCCACCAAGGCUAUAGCCCGCCCACCCGUUUUUUUUGCCAUUUUUCCGCUAGGGGGUCUUGGCGCCCCGACCUUCGGGGGCUGAUUUUUGGGCGCGGGUGUGCCCGUGGCCUGUUUUUGGCACACGGAGGCCGCCCGCAAAGUCUGGGGCCAUUCCGAGUCCGGCGGACGAACUUCGCCCACGCCCCCCACCAAGGCUAUAGCCCACCCGUUUUUUGGCCAUUUUUCCGCUGGGGGGUCUAGGCGCCCCGACAUUCGGGGGCUGAUUUUUGGGCGCCGCUGUGCCCGUGGCCUAUUUUUGGCACACGGAGGCCGCCCGCAAAGUCUGGGGCCAUUCCGAGUCCGGCGGACGAACUUCGCCCACGCCCCCCACCAAGGCUAUAGCCCACCCGUUUUUUGGCCAUUUUUCCGCUGGGGGGUCUUGGCGCCUCGACCUUCGGGGGCUGAUUUUUGGGCGCGGCUCUGCCCGUGGCCUAUAUUUGGCACACGGAAGCCGCCCGCAAAGUCUGGGGCCAUUCCGAGUCCGGCGGACGAACGUCGCCCACGCCCCCCACCAAGGCUAUAGCCCACCCGUUUUUUGGCCAUUUUUCCGCUGGGGGGUGUUGGCACCCCGACCUUCGGGGGCUGAUUUUUGGGCGCGGCUCUGCCCGUGGCCUAUUUUUGGCACACGGAAGCCGCCCGCAAAGUCUGGGGCCAUUCCGAGUCCGGUGGACGAACUUCGCCCACGCCCCCCACCAAGGCUAUAGCCCACCCGUUUUUUGGCCAUUUUUGCGCUGGGGGGUGUUGGCACCCCGACCUUCGGGGGCUGAUUUUUGGGCGCGGCUGUGCCCGUGGCCUAUUUUUGGCACACGGAGGCCGCCCGCAACGUCUGGGGCCAUUCCGAGUCCGGCGGACGAACUUCGCCCACGCCCCCCACCAAGGCUAUAGCCCACCCGUUUUUUGGCCAUUUUUCCGCUGGGGGGUGUUGGCGCCCCGACCUUCGGGGGCUGAUUUUUGGGCGCGGCUGUGCCCGUGGCCUAUUUUUGGCACACAGAGGCCGCCCGCAAAGUCUGGGGCCAUUCCGAGUCCGGCGGACGAACUUCGCACACGGCUCCCACCAAGGCUAUAGCCCACCCGUUUUUUGGCCUUUUUUCCGCUGGGGGGUGUUGGCACCCCGACCUUCGGGGGCUGAUUUUUGGGCGCGGCUGUGCCCGUGGCCUAUUUUUGGCACACGGAGGCCGCCCGCAAAGUCUGGGGCCAUUCCGAGUUCGGCGGACGAACUUCGCCCGCGCCCCCCACCAAGGCUAUAGCCCACCCGUUUUUUGGCCAUUUUUCCGCUGGGGGGUCUUGGCGCCCCGACCUUCGGGGGCUGAUUUUUGGGCGCGGCUGUGCCCGUGGCCUAUUUUUGGCACACGGAGGCCGCCCGCAAAGUCUGGGGCCAUUCCGAGUCCGGCGGACGAACUUCGCCCACGCCCCCCACCAAGGCUAUAGCCCGCCCACCCGUUUUUUGGCCAUUUUUCCGCUGGGGGGUCUUGGCGCCCCGACCAUCGGGGGCUGAUUUUUGGGCGCGGGUGUGCCCGUUGCCUGUUUUUGGCACACGGAGGCCGCCCGCAAAGUCUGGGGCCAUUCCGAGUCCGGCGGACGAACUUCGCCCACGCCCCCCACCAAGGCUAUAGCCCACCCGUUUUUUGGCCAUUUUUCCGCUGGGGGGUCUUGGCGCCCCGACCUUCGGGGGCUGAUUUUUGGGCGCGGCUGUGCCCGUGGCCUAUUUUUGGCACACGGAGGCCGCCCGCAAAAUCUGGGGCCAUUCCGAGUCCGGCGGACGAACUUCGCCCACGCCCCCCACCAAGGCUAUAGCCCACCCGUUUUUUGGCCAUUUUUCCGCUGGGGG